GACGAACCGAGCGAACGUUGUUCGGAAUCACUGGGCUUAAAGGGCGCGUAGGCGGGCUGCCAAGUUUGGGGUGAAAUCCCCCGGCUCAACCGGGGAAGUGCCUUGAAUACUGGCGGUCUGGAGGGAGGUAGGGGCGUGCGGAACUGUAGGUGGAGCGGUGAAAUGCGUUGAUAUCUACAGGAACUCCGGUGGCGAAGGCGGCACGCUGGACCUUUUCUGACGCUGAGGCGCGAAGGCCAGGGGAGCGAACGGG
rnacentral:rRNA from 1 species